AUGGUGGGAACAGAAGAGAUCUACAUGACAGAUAUGUCAUUGGUGAUGGAGGUGUUUCAGAAGCCGCUGGUAGAGGGCAGGGUGCUCACGAAACUGGAGGCUAACUCCAUCUUCGUCAACUGGAAUCAACUGAUCUACUGUAACAAGAAAUUGCUGAAGUCACUGAGGGUUAGGAGGAAGAUGAGUGCAGGAGAUGUGAUCACAGUCGUGGGGGACGUUCUCUGUGAAAACGU